UGUAUUUGUUUUUUGAUACAAGCUUCAUGUCCAUUUGUUUUGGACUUGUGAAAUGAAAUGUAUGUAUGUAUUCCUUAUGUCAGUGAUGUAAUUUUGAUAAAAUGCAACCUAGGAGCAGAUGUGUUCAUGGUGACAGACUCUCCAAUAGCAUUCUCUAAUGAAGGUAUGAAAUAAGGGAAAUUGUAUCAAAUACUAUUUUCAAAAUGUAUAAAGGUAAUUCCCUUAAACUUCAAUAUACACCAUAAGUGAUUCAUCAAAAACAGGGGUAUUUAUCUAAUUAUAAGAACAGUGAAAGAGACAGGAGAUUAUGAUGCUAUUUCUUGCCAGGUCUGACCCUAUUUAUAGCAUCCAACUUUUGUUGUAGCAUACACAGUGUUUCACAUCUGUGAGUAGUACAGUGUCCAGUAUUAUGGAACAACCUUAAACUAUAAUUAUUAUCAACAGUCUGGAGCUCAGAAAAUACAUUCGUAAUAUACUAUGCAAAUAUGGAGAACUCAAACUGCGUGACGUAUUUGCGCUAAGCAGGACGCCCCCUCCCCCGCUGCUACAGUGAUGGGCCAGUCAGCACUCCGCCCCCUCUCCACGGCGACAACAUUGACGUAGUGGGGGAUACCACAGUUGCUACACAGCAGGAGAUAACUCUCAACAGCGUUGCCCAGCAACACCUGUAAACAAGGCGACUAGGCAACAGGGAAGCGAGGCACUUUCUGUUGUCCGGCUGAGGGUUUAUAUGAGAACUGCACUGCCUAAGGAGUCAGUUAAAAUACAGCAGCAGUCACGGAAAGAAGGCCCGAACACAUGGUUAGAAGAUCUACGUGAUAGUGUGCGAUAACUGAGAAGUCAGCCAGUGAAGACUUAUUGUGUGACUUCAAGAUUUUGUGUGUGCCGUAGAACAGUUAUAUUGGGAGUGUGUAAUUCACAGAGACUUGUAUAGCUCCCGUGUUAUAAAUACGUGAAGACUACUGAAGACAGAGUGAAUAGUUUAUUGUGCAGGGUUUACAAAUUGUGUAAACCCGCAGCUGCGUUAUAAUUAAUUGUAGUUACAAUUUGUAGGUUAAAUAAACAAAUUAACAAUCCAUACGGCGUCUUCAGUGGCAAAACACAUUACAUUUGGUGUCAGAAAUUCCAAAGGGCUUACCUGUAGUUUUUUCUUAAACUUCAGACAUGUUGAGUUUUUAAAACAAUCACACUAUAUAUAAACUUUUAUUCAAACUGUACGGGAACAUGGACUGCGUCACUUCACGGUUUAUGACAACUUUCAGUGCCCACACUCUGACGUGCGUGCACCACUUCUUGAAGCAGUCUUUAACACACACAGACCAACAUCACAAUUUUACAGUAGAAGAGCGUGCUCCUGGUUUUCUUAUUUAGCGAACACACACAACAACUUUGUUUCCCUUUGGAUGGCCAGUGUUGCAAAUGUUUCACCUCUAGUCGACUCAGUUGGGCCCCAGAUGAGUUUGGCCUCCCCAAGAAACGCCACUGACCGUGAUAUUCACCUCAUGUGACUGUACAAUCAAAUAUCGCACUAUGAUUUUGCAGAAUUUUUUGUGUCAUUUUUCCACCACGACUUGUGCAAUGAACAGGCAUUGAGAACUGUCAUGUCUAUUAGGUGGAAAAAGAAUUUCUUCGUCCAUUUCCAUGUCCUCCAGGCAAUUCCAUAACUGUUUACCAUCCUAUCAGAUUUAUCCACAAACCCAUAUGUGCACUGUCAUCUUCAAUGGCUUUAUACCUCUACCGAAACACAAAAUAAAAAUACUUUAUAAAUAAAUAAUUGACAAUCCAACAUUGACUUUCUGACUGAUAAUUCAGUACUGAAAACCAAUCCCUGAGAAUGACCCACUUCCAUGCAAGCCUGGAUAGCACUAAUCUGCAUGCACAGAUGAAUAUUUAAUUCUCAGUUCUCAAAACAAAGCUGUCCUCUAUUUGGCUGACCUGGUCAUAAACAGUCAUAUUGAAAUGUAAACCACACUGAAACCAGUAUCGCAAUAAACGAUUUCAUUGUUCAGAGCUAAUGAAUGAACCAUCGACUUGACUUUGUGUGGGUUUAUUGUGGUUUCAAUGGAAGAUCAAACUGUCAGGACUCCCAAAGAGAGCGUGUGUACUGCUAGAUAAAUCUAACAUUCAGUCACAGUGGAAUGUUACUUGCUGUUAGAUAUAUCUAACAUUCAUAUGUUAAAGGCUAAGCAUGGUUACCACUAUCGCUAGAUAAGCCUCUACUUUAUGUAAGUGAGUGGAUAAUCUUGAAUGAAUUUAUUUCUGUGGCAUUUGUUAGAAUUUAUACUACUGCAUGCCUCAGACAGAAACAAAAUCAUUUAAGAACAGUAACAUAAGACCAGUAUAUACAGUAUGUUUUCACAUGACAAACUUGACAGUAAAGGAGUAAGACGUAGAAAAGUACAUUCUGAAAGAAAUAAACCGCAAAUGUAUAUGGGGUGAACAGGAGGCAAUUCAGAUACAAGGAAAAUCUUCAUAACAUACAGCACAAUAAGGAGAACUCAAAAUAUGCAAAACAUACUGUAAAUGCAUGCAUAAAGUAAAAUGGUCACAAUAAAAUAUUGAAAAUAAUGCCACUGGCAUGUCUCAUGGACACAUGGAAACGGUAUUACAUACAUGAACAAUAAAGAUAAAAUAGAAAUUAGAAAGAAGUAUAUAAAUCAAAGCUACAAAUUAUUUGAAUGUUCAUUAAUAAGGCUGUAUUUUUUACAUUCACAAGUAGAAAUAAGUAACCUCUCAUUCAGUGCAGUAUUAGAAAGGAAGAGAGCAGAACAGACACUUUGGACAACCACCUGCAAGGACACUGCAAAAGAAUGAGUGGAAAUUAACAGUACUGCAUAUAAUCUAAGUGUAUUUAAACAAAUUUAUCACCUAUCUAAUGGUUAAUAGAGUAAUAUGAACAAAGUUAGAACAACAGUAUGUUUAGUAGUAGUUAUCAUUGUGGGUGGAUUGGUUUCAUAUAAUGUCAAAGAAAAUUACACUAUCAAUAUCCCAGGGUCACAAUUACAAGCACAGUAGGCAUCCAAAAACUUAAUAAACGAGAUCACUCUACUGAGUCACUUCUGGGCAAGAAAUCUGUUGAAAGAAAUGCUGUGUGCUUAUUAUAGAGAAAGUGGAUAAAAUAGGAACAAGGUCAGAACACAUAUUUUUUUGAUCUUACCAUGCAUGAUUUUUACAUGUGUAUAUGUACAGAUGUAUUAUUUGUACUUCCAUAUGGAAGAAGAGUUGGAGGAGAACAUGCAGAUAAUUUAAAAGAAUUACUCAUGAAGACCUUCCUGUCAACCUCAACCUGCUUAAACUACUUUCACAUAAUGCAUGUGCAUAUACAGGGACAGUAUUUUCAGCAUUCCUUACGAACAGGACAAAGUCCUUUUAUUAUUCUUGGGGAAUGCUUCUAGAUUCAUAUUAAGAUUAACUGAUAGAACUCAACCGAACAUAGGCUGUCACAAAGUCUCAAAAGAUGAAAUCUGAAACCGCAGACCUUUAAAAUAAAGACAGAGAAGAAAACAUUUAUGUAACUGAAACUAUUACAGAACAGGCCUUCAAGGCCUUUUCAAAAUAAAAAGUUUGCAGUGUCCACAGACAUACAUUACUUCACUACAUGCAAUGAAAUUAUCACCUGAGAUUCCAUUUAGGGGAAGGUGGGACAGAAUCUGGAUUCAAGCAAAUCUUACCUAGUGGGAAUUUAAUGGAUUAAAACCACUGAAAGUGAACAUUUAUGAAGGAAAACUUUAAAUAAAGAAACACUAAAAGAGGGUCUGUAAAUCACUAAAACUCUCGUACAGUAAUUACUUUCAGUAUAUAGUGCUGUCAUGCACUGGCACACAUUAAACCUCUCGAAUCCAAAGUCAAGCAAACAUUGACAUGGCAAUCUGAUGUGGGCAAGACUGGAUUAACGACAAAGAGUUAUGGAUAUGUCGACUCAUCAAAUAAUAUGCAUAUGUAACAGAAUCUAGGUUUACACACACACAUACAAGACAGGCUUAAAAAAAGACCUUUCACAGAAAAUUCCUUUAUCGCCAACAUGGUCUUCUCAGUGAAAGGAGCUACCACCACAUAAAGGAAAAAGUUUUUCAUAUACACUCUUACAGUAUGCAUAUAAAAUGAAUCACAACAUAAUGCCAGCAUUAUUUCAAAUUUUGACAAGAGGUAUAUUUGAGGGUUUGCAAAUUUUGUUGUGCGUAAGAGAUAUGUAUACAUUUUCAAUUUAUAAAAAUAAACCUGCAUAAUUCUUGGAAUGCAAAUGUGAUUCCGAUAAACACCAAACCCAAAAAAGUAGCAACCAAAUGACAGAAUAUCACACAACUCCUUUUAAGUGCCUUGUCUGUAACUGAAGUGAUACUGCUGAUAAACAUUAACCCAUGAAUUAAAAAGAAGCCAUCACUUACAAUAUCAAACAUCUUUCCUCAGCGGGAAGUCACUUAAAUCUUUCCUGAUACACAUGGACUAUCUGUUCUCCACAACUGACUAGUUCACUUACACUUUGUUAGAUGAAAAUAUACUCUCAAUCAAUGAGAUCUCACAGCAAAAGAACAUUCCUACUGGUUUGUUCCGUUCUUACUCAGUUUCAACCAACUCUUUUACUGUUAUGAUUCUCUACAAGACUGUGAUAAUGGCUAAUCAAUUAUAUCAAUAUUGUGUUGUCCACUGUGUAAAGCUCAUUUGUUAUACACAACAUUUUGGGAAUUUGCUCUUCUCCUAUUUCCUCAUGACUGGCUGUCACUAUACUGACAGAUUUGUUCUUUGAAGAAAGUACAAGAUUAGUGGCAAGUUGAAAUUAAACCCAGAGAGUCCAGUUGUUAGAGCACUAGUCCAGUAUUCAAAGGGUCCCAGAUUUUAUCCAAACCAGCAUAACUAAUCUUAAAAAUAUAACAAUAAAAUAUCUGUCAGUAUAA